UUUUGCUGAGGAGCAGGAAGGGAAGGAACUGAGACCAAAGGAGACACCUCCCCACACACAGCCCUGCACGCCCAGAACCCUACAAGUGUGGCCCCAGAGGCCCCGGAAAACAUCCCGUGCGCCGGGCUCGGCGGGAGAUGAGGAGGAGACCUGGGAGAAAGGCCCGCCGGACGCCCUCCCACGGGAGCCACCGGCCCCAGGGCCCGGACAGUCUCCAGCCGGCGAGGCUGCCCCUUCCACACAGGCUCUACUGGGCAGACUGGGAAACUCCUCUUGUUCUACCCCCCAAGCAGACCCGUGUAAUUCCAAGCCCCCCCUGGGGUUCUACACUCCGGCAUCAGCAGCGACACGCAAACGCUGACACACGAAGGCCCUUCCUGCUUGGGGUGUGUGAGACAAGAGCUACAGUGGGGGCUGAGGAAACUCGGUGACAAUGCUCGGGGAUAAACUGAUUCCCACCUCGAGGCCAGCGGCAAGACAGCAAGAUGGCAACACACACUGAAAUCCAGCCCACCCCCCCCAGGCCCCUCAGACAUAGGGCAGUGACCCCAGGCAGCGGUCCUGCUACACCGGGCACCAGAGAACCUUCUAGCCUCGGAGCGCUUCGCAGCCCCGCCACGCGUCCAACCUGACCAAGCUCUCUGUGCCCUCAACCAAGUGAGGAUCUAACUCUGCGGGAGGGACUCGGACACCAACGACGGGAACACGCUGUUUCCUGACAGCGGGCUGGCAAAGCACCGCGGGAGCAGAGCAGCGGGACCGCCUGAGCUGAGGCGGAGGAGGAAGGGUGAGUGGCAGCCGUGAGAGUCACAGGGGAGGGACGCGGAGCAAGGUCUGCAGGGACGACUCUGCUCUGCCGCACUGGGAUGCGGGAACAGGGCAUCCUGCCACACUGGGGUUGGCAGCAGUCCUGCGUGACUGGAGCACACAAGCAGGGGUGCUGAGGGCCCGAGGUGCGGAUGGGCAGAGGCUGGCGAAGGGAGAGCCCCACAAAGCAGGAACAGGACCAAGAACGGAGACCCGUCAAGGCAACCGUUGCUGAGGGAACCACGUUCUACCGGAUCCAGGCAGGGUGGCUCCCCUUGACUGCCACUGGUUGUUCUAGGACUCCCACAUGCUGCUUCCUGCUGCCCGGCCACCCCCCAACCAAAGCCUGGAUGUUGGCUUCUUCCUAAGGAUGGGUGGUCCUUGCCCGGCCUCUCUGGGUGCCAAAGGCAGGGCGACACCCUGGGCCACUGGCGUGGCCUGGACAGGCACGUACUCACCCGGGCCUUCUGCUUUUCAGCCUGGAGCUGUGCGUCGAUCUCCUCGGGGCUCGUGUACUGCCUCGCCCGGCCUUUGUGGCCUCCCUUUCUCCCUGCACAAGGAUUGGCAGCUUAGGAAAGUGGGAGGGAGACAGAUUCCGUGAUUGCCCUGAGCCCCAGGCUGUGUCCUGUUUGAGGUGCUCUUAUCAGAGGCUGCAGAGACCUCACCUGCCCCUCACCAAGCACCACCCAAAACCUAUACUUUCCCCACCCUCAUGUGUUCAAAAGGACGAAAGAGGCAACACUUGACCACCUGAUGCAGCACCAAACUGUGAGACCCAAGAGGAGGACUGGGGGGAGGGCACAUGGCAUGGAGUGACCAGCUCAUCCCCUGGUCCCUUAGAAUCGAAUGCAGUGACCCAGAUGCAAUCCUGA